GCGGGUAUAGUACAACGGCAGUACGAGACGUUGCCAACGUUUAGAUACGGGUUCAAUUCCCGUUACCCGCU
rnacentral:tRNA from 1 species